AAAGGGGUUAUAAUUACGUGUGCCAGCGCAGCCCCCGGGGAUAUAUCGUUAGGUGGGCGCAACGUGUUGUUCGGAUUCUCAUUGGCGGUGUAAGGGCGGCGCGCAGGGCGGGUUUUUUUUAGUCUUGAAUUUGAAAAGCCUUCGGCUCUAACCGAGAGAAAAGUCAUCUGGAAACUGGGAAACUUGAGUGCAGAAAGAGAGACAGUGGAACUCCCAUGUGUAGCCGGUGAAAUGGGUAGAUAUUAUGGAAGAACCCCAGUGGGGCAAGGGGGCUGUUUGGUUUGUAACUGACGGUGAGGCUCGAAAGUAUGGGUAGCCAACCGGAUUAGAUACCCUGGUAGUUCAUUCCGUAAACGAUGAAUGCUAAGUGUUGGAGGGUUUCCGCCCUUCAGUGGUGCAGGUAACGCAUUAAGCCUUCCGCCUGGGGAGUACGGCCGCAAGGGUGAAACUCAAAGGAAUUGACGGGGGCCCGCACCAGCGGUGGAGCAUGUGGUUUAAUUUGGAGGUUCGCGAAGAACCUUACCAGGUCUUGACAUUCUUUGCAAAUUUUAGAGAUUAGGCGUUUCCUUUGGGGACAAGGAUACAGGUGGUGCAUGGUUGUUGUCAGCUUGUGUUGUGAGAUGUUGGGUUAAAUCCCGCAACGAGCGCAACCCUUAUUAUCAGUUGCCAGCAUUAAGUUGGGCCCUUUGGUGAGACUGCCGGUGACAAACCGGAGGAAGGUGGGGAUGACGUCAAAUCAUCCUGCCCCUUAUGACCUGGGCUACACACGUGGUACAAUGGAUGGUACAACGAGUUGCGAACUCGCGAGAGUAAGCUAAUUUUUUAAAACCAUUUUCAGUUUGGAUUGUAGGCUGCAACUUGCCUACCAGAAGUCGGAAUCGCUAGUAAUCGCGGAUCAGCAUGCCGCGGUGAAUACGUUCCCGGGCCUUGUACACCCCGCCCGUCACACCCUGAGAGUUUGUAACCCCCAAAGUCGGUGGGGUAACCUUUUAGGAACCAGCCGCUUAAGGUGGGACAGAGAUUAGGGGAAAGCCUAACCGGGUUUCCCCG
rnacentral:rRNA from 1 species